rnacentral:rRNA from 1 species
UACCAGCACCCCGAGUGGUGGGCACGUUCAUUGGGCUUAAAGCAUCCGUAGCCGGUUUUAUAAGUCCUCCGUUAAAUCCAGCUGCUUAACAGAUGGGCUGCGGAGGAUACUAUAAGACUAGGAGGCAGGAGAGGCAAGCGGUACUCAGUGGGUAGGGGUAAAAUCCGUUGAUCCAUUGAAGACCACCAGUGGCGAAGGCGGCUUGCCAGAAUGCGCUCGACGGUGAGGGAUGAAAGCUGGGGGAGCAAACCGG